ACUGUUUCAUAUCAAAUCGUGAGGCUUGCACACAUAUUUUCUAUUGAUCUCUUAACCAUUAGAAUAUUGCUCUUAACGUUUAUCCAUGCCCAGUCUUCAAUAUUCCUUUCCCUUUGACACGAAUGCAAGAUAUAAACUAAACACAAAAGCACAAUCUCUCUCUGACCACUGUGAUACCAAGAAGAAUAAACACAAGGUAUAAACAGGAAACAAGAUUAAAAUAUUUAUAGAUAAAAGAGAUUGACUCUUUUGGUGUUUCUAA